rnacentral:rRNA from 1 species
GUGGGGAAUAUUGCACAAUGGGCGGAAGCCUGAUGCAGCGACGCCGCGUGAGGGAUGACGGCCUUCGGGUUGUAAACCUCUUUCAGCAGGGAAGAAGCGUGAGUGACGGUACCUGCAGAAGAAGCGCCGGCUAACUACGUGCCAGCAGCCGCGGUAAUACGUAGGGCGCAAGCGUUGUCCGGAAUUAUUGGGCGUAAAGAGCUCGUAGGCGGCUUGUCGCGUCGGUUGUGAAAGCCCGGGGCUUAACCCCGGGUCUGCAGUCGAUACGGGCAGGCUAGAGUGUGGUAGGGGAGAUCGGAAUUCCUGGUGUAGCGGUGAAAUGCGCAGAUAUCAGGAGGAACACCGGUGGCGAAGGCGGAUCUCUGGGCCAUUACUGACGCUGAGGAGCGAAAGCGUGGGGAGCGAACAGGAUUAGAUACCCUGGUAGUCCACGCCGUAAACGUUGGGAACUAGGUGUUGGCGACAUUCCACGUCGUCGGUGCCGCAGCUAACGCAUUAAGUUCCCCGCCUGGGGAGUACGGCCGCAAGGC